AGAGUUUGAUCCUGGCUCAGGACGAACGCUGGCGGCGCGCCUAACACAUGCAAGUCGAACGAGAGAUGAGGAGCUUGCUCUUCAAAUCGAGUGGCGAACGGGUGAGUAACGCGUGAGGAACCUGCCUCAAAGAGGGGGACAACAGUUGGAAACGACUGCUAAUACCGCAUAAGCCCACGGCUCGGCAUCGAGCAGAGGGAAAAGGAGUGAUCCGCUUUGAGAUGGCCUCGCGUCCGAUUAGCUAGUUGGUGAGGUAACGGCCCACCAAGGCGACGAUCGGUAGCCGGACUGAGAGGUUGAACGGCCACAUUGGGACUGAGACACGGCCCAGACUCCUACGGGAGGCAGCAGUGGGGAAUAUUGCACAAUGGGGGAAACCCUGAUGCAGCGACGCCGCGUGGAGGAAGAAGGUCUUCGGAUUGUAAACUCCUGUUGUUGAGGAAGAUAAUGACGGUACUCAACAAGGAAGUGACGGCUAACUACGUGCCAGCAGCCGCGGUAAAACGUAGGUCACAAGCGUUGUCCGGAAUUACUGGGUGUAAAGGGAGCGCAGGCGGGAGAACAAGUUGGAAGUGAAAUCCAUGGGCUCAACCCAUGAACUGCUUUCAAAACUGUUUUUCUUGAGUAGUGCAGAGGUAGGCGGAAUUCCCGGUGUAGCGGUGGAAUGCGUAGAUAUCGGGAGGAACACCAGUGGCGAAGGCGGCCUACUGGGCACCAACUGACGCUGAGGCUCGAAAGUGUGGGUAGCAAACAGGAUUAGAUACCCUGGUAGUCCACACCGUAAACGAUGAUUACUAGGUGUUGGAGGAUUGACCCCUUCAGUGCCGCAGUUAACACAAUAAGUAAUCCACCUGGGGAGUACGACCGCAAGGUUGAAACUCAAAGGAAUUGACGGGGGCCCGCACAAGCAGUGGAGUAUGUGGUUUAAUUCGACGCAACGCGAAGAACCUUACCAAGUCUUGACAU
rnacentral:rRNA from 1 species